UACGAAGGGGGCUAGCGUUGCUCGGAAUUACUGGGCGUAAAGGGCGCGUAGGCGGCCAUGCGUGUCUCCCGUGAAAUCCCUCGGCUCAACCGAGGACGUGCGGAAGAAACUGCAAGGCUCGAGUCCGGAAGAGGGGGGCGGAAUUCCCAGUGUAGCGGUGAAAUGCGUAGAUAUUGGGAGGAACACCAGUGGCGAAGGCGGUCCCCUGGGCCGGAACUGACGCUGAGGAGCGAAAGCCAGGGGAGCAAACGGG
rnacentral:rRNA from 1 species